rnacentral:rRNA from 1 species
CAGGCUUAACACAUGCAAGUCGAGCGCCGCUUCGGUCAGCGGCAGACGGGUGAGUAACGCGUGGGAAUCUACCCAUCUCUACGGAACAACUCCGGGAAACUGGAGCUGAUACCGCAUACGUCCCUUUGGGGGAAAGAUUUAUCGGGGAUGGAUGAGCCCGCGUCGGAUUAGCUAGUUGGUGGGGUAAUGGCCUACCAAGGCGACGAUCCGUAGCUGGUCUGAGAGGAUGAUCAGCCACACUGGGACUGAGACACGGCCCAGACUCCUACGGGAGGCAGCAGUGGGGAAUAUUGGACAAUGGGCGCAAGCCUGAUCCAGCCUUGCCGCGUGAUUAAUGAAGGCCCUAGGGUUGUAAAGCUCUUUCGCAGGUGAAGAUAAUGACGGUAACCUGGGAAGAAGCCCCGGAAAACUUCGUGCCAGCAGCCGCGGUAAUACGAGGGGGGCUAGCGUUUUUCGAAAUUACUGGGCGUAACGCCCACU